rnacentral:rRNA from 1 species
GUCUACGGCCAUGCCACCCUGAACAAGAUCCCGUCUGAUCGCGGAAGCUAAGCAAGGUCGGGCCUGGUUAGUAUGUGGAUGGGAGACCACCUCGGAAGACCAGGUGCUGUAGGCG